UCUCUGGUAGUAUAUUGGUUAGUACACGCGCCUGUCAUGGUGUUGAGAAAUUCGAUACGCGCGAAAGCUGGGUUCGACUCCCAGCCAGAGAG